UCCCUGGUGGUCUAGUGGCUCGCAUGCGGCGCUCUCGCCACUGUGGCCCGGCUUCGAUUCACGGUCAGUAAA